rnacentral:misc_RNA from 1 species
CAGAGUCCAUGCCCUUCGGGGUAGAUCUCCCACCCGUGUAUUUAUACCUUUGUUGCUUUGGCAGGCCUGCCUCGGCCACCGGCUCCGGCUGGUGAGCGCCUGCCAGAGGACCCCAAACUCUGUAUUUAAUGUCGUCUGAGUACUAUAUAAUAGUUA